GUGCUAAGGUAGCAUAAUCAUUUGUCUUUUAAAUAAAGACUAGAACAAAAGAUUUAACAUUUUAAUAAAUUUUAUAAAAUUAUAAAUUCAAAUUAUUUUUAAUGUUAAAAAACAUUAAUAUAAUAUAAAGACGACAAGACCCUAUUGAACUUAACUUAAGUUAAACUGGGGCAGUAAAUUAAUUAUUAUUUUAAUUUCGAAAUUAAAAAAAAAAUCCAAUAUAAUUGAUAAACAAGUUACCAUAGGGAUAACAGCGUAAUCUUUAUCAAAAGUUCAUAUAAAAAUAUAAAUUUACGACCUCGAUGUUGAAUUAAUUAUCUAAUUAAUGCAAAAAUUAAAUAAGAAAGUCUGUUCGACUUUUAAACAAUUACAUGAUUUGAGUUCAGACCGGUGUAAGCCAGGUCGGUUUCUAUCUUUUUAUAAAUUUUUACAGUACGAAAGGACCUAAUAAUUUAAUAUUAUUAUAUAAUUGGCAGAUUAAUGCAUUAGAAUUAGAAUCUAACUAAUCAUAA
rnacentral:rRNA from 1 species